rnacentral:rRNA from 1 species
UGGGGAAUAUUGCACAAUGGGCGCAAGCCUGAUGCAGCCAUGCCGCGUGAGUGAAGAAGGCCUUAGGGUUGUAAAGCUCUUUCGCCUGUGAAGAUAAUGACGGUAGCAGGUAAAGAAACCCCGGCUAACUCCGUGCCAGCAGCCGCGGUAAUACGGAGGGGGUUAGCGUUGUUCGGAAUUACUGGGCGUAAAGCGCACGUAGGCGGACCAGAAAGUUGGGGGUGAAAUCCCGGGGGCUCAACCCCGGAACUGCCUCCAAAACUAUUGGUCUAGAGUUCGAGAGAGGUGAGUGGAAUUCCAAGUGUAGAGGUGAAAUUCGUAGAUAUUUGGAGGAACACCAGUGGCGAAGGCGGCUCACUGGCUCGAUACUGACGCUGAGGUGCGAAAGUGUGGGGAGCAAACAGGAUUAGAUACCCUGGUAGUCCACACCGUAAAACGAUGAAUGCCAGUCGUCGGGUAGCAUGC